rnacentral:rRNA from 1 species
UACAGAGGUCUCAAGCGUUGUUCGGAUUCAUUGGGUGUAAAGGGUGCGUAGGUGGCGUCGUAAGUCAGGUGUGAAAUUUCGGAGCUUAACUCCGAAACUGCAUUUGAUACUGCGGUGCUUGAGGACUGGAGAGGAGACUGGAAUUUACGGUGUAGCAGUGAAAUGCGUAGAGAUCGUAAGGAAGACCAGUGGCGAAGGCGGGUCUCGUGGACAGUUCCU